GGAGAGGUGGCAGAGUGGUUGAAUGUACCUGACUCGAAAUCAGGCGUACGGUAUCCCCGUACCGGGGGUUCGAAUCCCCCCCUCUCCGCCA
rnacentral:tRNA from 4 species